CCUACGGGAGGCAGCAGUGAGGAAUAUUGGUCAAUGGGCUUACGCCUGAACCAGCCAAGUCGCGUGAGGGAAGACUGCCCUAUGGGUUGUAAACCUCUUUUGUCAGGGAGCAAUUGGCGCUACGUGUAGCGUUAUCGAGAGUACCUGAAGAAAAAGCAUCGGCUAACUCCGUGCCAGCAGCCGCGGUAAUACGGAGGAUGCGAGCGUUAUCCGGAUUUAUUGGGUUUAAAGGGUGCGUAGGCGGAAUGCCAAGUCAGCGGUAAAAUCGCGGGGCUCAACCUCGCUCCGCCGUUGAAACUGGCGUUCUUGAGUGGGCGAGAAGUAAGCGGAAUUCCGGGUGGAGCGGUGAAAUGCGUAGAGAUCAGGAGGAACACCGGUGGCGAAGGCGGCUUACUGGACAGUGACUGACGUUGAGGCGCGAAAGCGUGGGGAGCGAACAGGAUUAGAUACCCCUGUAGUC
rnacentral:rRNA from 1 species